rnacentral:rRNA from 1 species
UGCGUAGGCGGUCUUUCAAGUCAGGAGUUAAAGGCUACGGCUCAACCGUAGUAAGCUCCUGAUACUGUCUGGCUUGAGUGCAGGAGAGGAAAGCGGAAUUCCCAGUGUAGCGGUGAAAUGCGUAGAUAUUGGGAGGAACACCAGUAGCGAAGGCGGCUUUCUGGACUGUAACUGACGCUGAGGCACGAAAGCGUGGGGAGCAAACA